rnacentral:rRNA from 1 species
GACGAACCGUGCGAACGUUGUUCGGAUUCACUGGGCUUAAAGGGCGCGUAGGCGGCUCGCCAAGUCAGGGGUGAAAUCUUUCGGCUUAACCGGAAAACAGCUUCUGAUACUGGCGGGCUGGAGGGAGGUAGGGGCAGAUGGAACUUCCGGUGGAGCGGUGAAAUGCGUAGAUAUCGGAAGGAACGCCGGUGGCGAAAGCGAUCUGCUGGACCUUUUCUGACGCUGAGGCGCGAAAAGCUAGGGGAGCAAACGGG